UUCAGAUGGAGUUUGCUUGUGUGAUUCUGUUUUUGGUGCUGGGUACGUGCGGUGCCACCCCACAAGAUCUGAGGGGUAAAAUGUUCACGUUCCCUGAGGACUAUGACUCAGGUUUUGUGAGAGUGGAUUUGGACCAGAAAGAGCUGAGGUCAUUCACUGUCUGCAUGAGGGUUUUCACAGACCUCGUGAGAGUGCACAACCUCUUCCAGCUGACCACAAACUCCUCCUACAACCCUGACC